AGGAACGCAAGCAGCCAUCGUUGCUGGGGUGUCUCUGUCCCUCGCCCCGAGGCCCGCACCGCCCUCCUAGCGAUUAUUUUCGACGCCCGCCCUCCUGAGCCUCCUGAGUCGGCUGCCAGAGCGAGGGCCCGUCUCCCGCCGCCACUCGCGAUUUAUUUACACCUCGCAGGUGAGAGGAUUGAUUUGCUCAGUGCCAGGGGGGCCGGGCUGGGCCGGGGCGCGGGGCCUGCUCAUCGCUGCUGCUCGGGCCGGGCCUCAAAUGUCAGUGCGGCCAGGCCGGCCGGGGGCACCGCCGCCGCCUCUAACAUUGAGCAACAGCGCCACCUCGCGUCCACUUGCUCCAAUGCAGGCCGACCAGGAAAAAGCCAACAGCUAGAGCAAGCAGGUCCCCAAGGCUUGACCCAAAGGUGGGAAGUGGGAAGAAGGAGUUUCCAACAGCGUGCGCGCACGAGAGGGGUCCCUGGAAGGGGUUCCCUCCGCCUCCGGCCGCUGUACUUUUGUUUUCUAAAUUCUCGAAAGAAACCUUGUCAAAGGCUUCACACUAUUUUCUCUUUUUGUCACCCUCCCUCCCCGCACUGUGCAAAAGAACUGCCGCGAUUUCCCCCGCAUUCAGGCGCAUUUCUGGCCUCGGAACACCUCCGCGCCCGCAGAUGCACGCUCCGAAGCUCCCACGCCCGCCUGCCCCCGGCGCGCACUCUAAAACUCCUCGGCCCUCUUACCCUGCUGCUGGCUCCGCAUCGCCUAUUCGCCGCCGCCCGCAGGACUUUGGGGUGGGACUCUGACUUCUCCCGGCUGUUUGCCCCCUGGUUUGUAGCCCAUCCCUCUCUCUCACGCGCGCUCUCUCGCCACCUCUCCCUCUCCGAAGCUCCCACGCCCGCCUGCCCCCGGCGCGCACUCUAAAACUCCUCGGCCCUCUUACCCUGCUGCUGGCUCCGCAUCGCCUAUUCGCCGCCGCCCGCAGGACUUUGGGGUGGGACUCUGACUUCUCCCGGCUGUUUGCCCCCUGGUUUGUAGCCCAUCCCUCUCUCUCACGCGCGCUCUCUCGCCACCUCUCCCUCCCAGCCAGUCCUGUUCUGUUCUCCGUGGGCCAUAGACAAAACAUUCCUAUAAUCCGAUUUCAAAGGUUGUCCACCUUAUUUAAACCAUAAAACAAUUAAGCCCAGACGUCUAGCCAGCUCCGCGCUGCUGUUUUGUUCUGCCCCAUUCAGAAUCCAGCGCAGGGAGACAAACAGCGCCAUAAAAGUGGCAUUUCGGGACCGCGGAAAUGUACCUAUCCUCUGCCUUCCCAAGUGGAACAACCUUUAGGGUUUUGUGAUUCUGACAAAGGAGCAGAGGAGAGGUGGGAGGGGAAGAUUAGGGCGGGGUGGGGGGCGUUUGCCGGCCCCUCUCCCCCCGCCUCUUCCCCGGGCUUUCGCUGCUUUCCCCAGAUGUGUGUUGUGCUGUCGUGGCUUGGAGUCACAAAUGACAAUAAAUAAAAAUCGAAUCCAAUCCUGACCUGCAGGCUGGAGGCUGAGCUGGUACUGAACAGUGGGCUGGGCCGGGUGGGCCUGCUCUGGAUCCCACGCUCCGGCCAGGGCCCUCCUUUCAGAUCGGAGUAA
rnacentral:lncRNA from 1 species